CGACGAAAUAGCAGCAAGAAGAAACUCGAAAAGGGAGGAGAUGAAUGCACAAAUAAGAAGGGAAGUUGAAGCGGAGGUCCAAAAACUCAGAAGUGAUAUGACAAAAGAAAUCGAGGCGAAGAUCCAAAGGGAAAUGGAGCUGAAUCAACAGAAACAACAGGCUAAUGAAGCACCCGUCAAAGUCUCAUGGACGAAGGCUAUUGUUGGAGCAUUUUUCCUGGACUACUAGGGACUUAUUGGUAGACUGGUAGUAGCUGCGAUUUGUUAGAUUUUAAGGAAACAGAGGAAGUACUACAUAGAAGUUCAAGACUUUAGAGUCAUGACGGUCCAUGAGUAGAUUUGAGAUGAUCAAGAACAUUGGCGUUAGUAAAAUGUAGUUAGUUUAUACUACUAUUAGAGGACGUG